GCUGUUCAGUGAUGAGGCACUGGAAAAAGCGCCGGGCACGGCGCCCGACCCCGAUGAGGAAUCCUUCCUUGCUGCCUUCCUUCUGAGAACAGC
rnacentral:snoRNA from 13 species